AAUUAGUAUCGUAAUUGUCUUUCUUUUUGGCGUGUUCGUUCUUGUGUGUCAUUCUUAAUUUUUAUGUUAGCCGUUCCGAAAACGAUGUUUUAGAACGGAAAUACUAACGCUUGCACAAGUAUAGUCAAGAGACUAUAGCUCAUAUAUUAUUUGUUUGUUUUCCUGUCCCUCGUAUGCUGUUCAUGUUUCGUUCUUGUUCUUCAGCGCUAAGAGCAUACUCCUUAGGAGUGUGAGUAUGAGCUUUACAAAUUUUGCAUUUAUCAUUAUCUUAUUAUUAUUAUUUCACAGAAUUCGCUGAAGGACGGUCAGAAACUUCCCUAGGCUGGGUUGGGUAUCAGUGAAUAUACUAACACUUCUAGAGCCCAAAGCUUGCCCCGAAAAAGCGCGAUGGUCGACUUCAACCUUAACGCUGUGUAAUUUUUUAUUCAUACACCUGCCUAAUCCUGGGGUCACAAGGUGCACGGCAGGUGUGACUAUAAAGGUGGUGUUUACGAAAACUUCGUGCCACGUAGUAAGUUAGGAGUUUUUGCAAGAGAGAGAGAGAGAGGGGGGGGGAGAGAAAACGACAAAGAUCUCAGCGCAGCCGUUUAAAAUUAAGAUGGAAAGCAUGUUGUUGGAAACCAGUUUGUAUGAUGGCAAAUGACGAAGCAGUUUAUGCUUAUUUCUUUCCUUCCUUCAUUUUUCCCUCUUAUUUUCAUUAUUGUAAUGAUAGUGUGUGUGUGUGUGUGUGUGUGUGCGCGCGAGCGCGCGUGUCAGCGCACGUACUGUUGGUCGUAUUAUAUAUCACAUUUUGUCAUUUUCUUUUGCAUAGGCGACGAGGUUAGAUCCGAGCUAAGGUCCAACAUCCAAGGAGUAGGUUCAUCGAUCGAUGCCAACAUGAUUAUUUGAUCUUCACCAGUCCGGAGCUGUCUGGGUCUGGCUUUACUGGUUUUCCAUGUUUUCGCUGUCUCUGUGCAACAAAAUGCGCAGAAAUUAUAAACUGAAUGAGUCCCUUUUGUUUGGGACAUUUUUUCAGUCUUCGAAAGAUACGGCAUAUAUUUUAGAGUGACACUUUGCAAGAAAGUUUGAACAAAUAGAUGUUUCAUCUGUGGUUGCCAUUAUCGCAAAGCUUUCCGACCUCACAAGAGGGACCUUUUCAGUCAUCAAGUGACAGAAACAGCCGGGUGGUCUGAUUGCCUACCUUUUAUUUGCUUUCUACAAGUGGAGUCAUAGUGCUUAGUCAUUAAACCUGCUUGGAAUAAAAGCUGAAGCUGUUUUUAUACGAUCAGCAACAGUUUGUGUUCCUCAUUGUGUCAUGUCGACGACCGAUGUUUCUAAGCUGUCUGAGUAGUUUCAUAGCAAGGAUUUCCAGUUUCUUAGCAACCGUAAAAAAAUACCUUGCUAUUUGACAAUUAAGCAUGAUUACAGACUCUGUAAGUGUAAAGCCUACUGGAUGCAUUCGAUGCCCACCAUGUAAGCCUACAGCCGAUUGGAGGCCGGUGCAACUUGCUCCCUUUGCGUUACAGGGGUCUGACACUAGUCUCUUACCCACUUGCUUCCCUUUAAAGUACUUAUGUCAAUGCUUUCCAUUUUCGUUGACAUAAAUCACUUGAAAGAGAAAACAUUCAAUAACAGAUAUUUCUCUUUGCGUGGAAAAAAAACACAAUGCCUGCUCAAUCUUCUGACCCUUAUUAACUUUAACUUUAAAAUUUAUCACACAUGCCAAAGAUUGCUUCUCCCCACUAUUGGAAACAUCCGAAAUCGCCUUAAAGUGUAUAAAAUGCUUCACUGAGGAGAAAAAACCCAGACGUUAUUGAAAAGUUAAUUCCUGCUAGGCCCCUAGAUCUUACAGGUAUUAACUUGACAAAUCAAGUCUUGCCCGUAAACAAUAAUGUGUAAAUGUAAAAAAAAAUGCAAGCUGAUUCCCUUCUCGUACUACGCUGUUGUAGCAACCUGUUUACAAACUGAGACAGUGGGGUUCCAGUUGUUUACCGAGUGUUUAGGAGAACCGUUGCAGUUAAAACGAAUGUGUUGCGGUAGUUUUAUCGUUGUUGUGUGAUACCACAAGAACAAUAACAACGUUCACAUUGACUUCUCAAUCCUUACAGAAAGUGGAAAGGUCAACAGAAAAAGAAUCAAUGAGCAGUUUCAUUUAUCACAGCGGUUGUAACUCUUCGAUUAUGAAUUCA